rnacentral:rRNA from 1 species
UGCCAGACUCCUACGGGAGGCAGCAGUGGGGGAUAUUGCACAAUGGGGGGAACCCUGAUGCAGCGACGCCGCGUGGGUGAAGAAGCGCCUCGGCGCGUAAAGCCCUGUCAGCAGGGAAGAAAAUGACGGUACCUGAGUAAGAAGCCCCGGCUAACUACGUGCCAGCAGCCGCGGUAAUACGUAGGGGGCAAGCGUUAUCCGGAUUUACUGGGUGUAAAGGGAGCGUAGACGGCAGUGCAAGUCUGGAGUGGGAGGGGGGGGCGCAACCCCCGGACUGCUCUGGAAACUGUCCGGCUGGAGUGCAGGAGAGGUAAGUGGAAUUCCUGGUGUAGCGGUGAAAUGCGUAGAUAUUAGGAGGAACACCAGUGGCGAAGGCGGCUUACUGGACUGUAACUGACGUUGAGGCUCGAAAGCGUGGGGAGCAAACAGGAUUAGAUACCCGAG